GUCAAAUCCAAUACAGUAGAUAUAGUAGAAUAGCGGUAUUACACUCACAUUUAUUAGAGCUAUAGCCAGUGUCACGGCAAGGGUGCAUAAUUUAUUAUUGCACUAUGGAAUAUUGUCCUUUAAAGUAAUUUGUGUAGUGCAUUAAGGACCUGUCAGCCUGGCAGAGAUGGCAUUGUCCGUGUCAAAAGGGGUUAAUUUGAUUGGAUAGAGGUCAAAAGGUGUCACGUCUUUUGAACCUGGGACCCCCCCACAGAGGGCAGAUGGCAGAAGAGGUAAUGUAAAAUUGCAUAGGAAUGUGAAAAGGGAAAGACAUCCUGUGGUUAAUCAAAGGCCCUGCAAGGUGUGAGAUUCUACACUUGAAAGCCUGAAUGUAAAGC